AUUGAACGCUGGCGGCAGGCCUAACACAUGCAAGUCGAGCGGAUGAAGGGAGCUUGCUCCUGGAUUCAGCGGCGGACGGGUGAGUAAUGCCUAGGAAUCUGCCUGGUAGUGGGGGAUAACGUCCGGAAACGGGCGCUAAUACCGCAUACGUCCUGAGGGAGAAAGUGGGGAUCUUCGGACCUCACGCUAUCAGAUGAGCCUAGGUCGGAUUAGCUAGUUGGUGGGGUAAAGGGCUACCAAGGCGACGAUCCGUAACUGGUCUGAGAGGAUGAUCAGUCACACUGGAACUGAGACACGGUCCAGACUCCUACGGGAGGCAGCAGUGGGGAAUAUUGGACAAUGGGCGAAAGCCUGAUCCAGCCAUGCCGCGUGUGUGAAGAAGGUCUUCGGAUUGUAAAGCACUUUAAGUUGGGAGGAAGGGCAGUAAGUUAAUACCUUGCUGUUUUGACGUUACCAACAGAAUAAGCACCGGCUAACUUCGUG
rnacentral:rRNA from 1 species